GUUGUAUAGUCAAGUAAUUAAGUGCAUGUGGUGGAUGCCUUGGCAGUCAGAGGCGAUGAAAGACGUGAUAGCCUGCGAAAAGCUCCGGGGAGGCGGCAAAUAUCCUUUGAUCCGGAGAUGUCUGAAUGGGGGAACCCACCUACUUUAAGGUAGGUAUUGCAACAUGAAUACAUAGUGUUGCAAGGCGAACGAGGGGAAGUGAAACAUCUCAGUACCCUUAGGAAAAGAAAUCAAUUGAGAUUCCCUCAGUAGCGGCGAGCGAACGGGGAUCAGCCCAUUAAGUUAUGUGUGUUUUAGUGGAACGCUCUGGGAAGUGCGAACGUAGAGGGUGAUAUUCCCGUACACGAAAGGGCACACAUAAUGAUGACGAGUAGGGCGAGGCACGUGAAACCUUGUCUGAAUAUGGGGGGGCCAUCCUCCAAGGCUAAAUACUCCUGACUGACCGAUAGUGAACCAGUACCGUGAGGGAAAGGCGAAAAGAACCCCUGUGAGGGGAGUGAAAUAGAUCCUGAAACCGCAUGCAUACAAGCAGUGGGAGCACCUUCGUGGUGUGACUGCGUACCUUUUGUAUAAUGGGUCAGCGACUUAUAUUCAGUAGC
rnacentral:rRNA from 1 species